rnacentral:rRNA from 1 species
GAUGAACGCUGGCGGCGUGCCUAAUACAUGCAAGUCGAGCGAACAGACAGGCAGCUUCCUCCUCUUACGUUCGCGGCGGACGGGCGGGUAACACGUGCAUCACAAACCUAUAAACCUUGGAUAACAUCGGUAAACCGGUGCUAAUACCAGAUCAUAUAGUGAACCGCAUAGUGCAAUAGUUCAAUGCGGUUUUGCUGUCACUAAUAGCUGGAGCCGGGCCGCCUUAGCUAGUUGGUAAGGUAACGGCUUACCAAGGCAACGAUGCGUAGCCGACCUGAGAGGGUGAUCGGCCACACUGGAACUGAGACACGGUCCAGACUCCUACGGGAGGCAGCAGUGGGGAAUCUUGCGCAAUGGGCGCAAGCCUGACGGAGCAACGCCGCGUGAGUGAUGAAGGUCUUCGGAUCGUAAAACUCUGUUAUUAGGGAAGAACAAAUGUGUAAGUAACUAUGCACGUCUUGACGGUACCUAAUCAGAAAGCAACGGCUAACUACGUG